rnacentral:rRNA from 1 species
GACGAACCGUGCGAACGUUGUUCGGAAUCACUGGGCUUAAAGGGCGCGUAGGCGGACUGCCAAGUCCGGGGUGAAAUCCUCCGGCUUAACCGGAGAAUUGCCUGGGAUACUGGCGGUCUUGAGGGAGGUAGGGGCACGCGGAACUUCCGGUGGAGCGGUGAAAUGCGUUGAUAUCGGAAGGAACGCCGGUGGCGAAAGCGGCGUGCUGGCCCUCUUCUGACGCUGAGGCGCGAAAGCCAGGGGAGCGAACGGGG